rnacentral:rRNA from 1 species
GUGCCUAACACAUGCAAGUCGAACGCUCAGAUCGCAAGGUCUGAGAGUGGCGGACGGGUGAGUAACACGUGGGUUAUCUGCCUUUCGGUGAGGAAUACCGGCGAGAAAUCGCCGACAAAACCGCAUGAGUUUCUGGAAACAGAAAGAAAGUCGCAAGACGCCGAAAGAUGAGCCUGCGGCCGAUUAGCUAGCUGGUGGGGUCAAAGCCUACCAGGGCGACGAUCGGUAGCUGGUCUGAGAGGACGAUCAGCCACACUGGGAUUGAGAACGGACCAG